rfam:Populus trichocarpa scaffold_13_contig_186, whole genome shotgun sequence.
UCUAGAACUCGAGAUAUGGGCUGAACACUGAAUAGUGUCUGAGCUGCAUGACAGAUUCCGACUUUUCUGUUGUUGCUACAAUUUGAACUUGAAAAUGGUCCUUUUGAAUCUUGGACUCUUCAUGAAAGUUUUAGGCCUAUGUCUUAGCUUUUCAUA